AGGCUUGGAGGUACCAUGGCUACCAGGCUCUGGUAGUGUCACCAUUCCUGCCUCUGACCCUAUUCUGUGAAUAUUACCCCUUUGCCUGGUGCCUGGCUCUUAGGAGGUGCUCAGAACCCUGGGCUCUUUACUGGCUGGAGGCUCCUCUUGUCUCUCUGCCUUGCUCCUGGCUACUUUCCUGGCAGGACUUCUGGGCUCCUGCUUGGUUCGUCCUCCACUGCCUGUCUCCAGACCCCAAUGUACUCCUGCUUCUCCCCACUUGCUGCCCCGAGCCCACCACUGUGACCCUGGGGCCUCUGAAGAGCUGAAUGGGCUUGCAAACUGCCUGAGGGCCAAGGCUGAGCUUACUCAUCCGCCAUGAGGAGGGGGCCCCCUAGCCUGGCCCUUAGCAGGUGCUCCAAGGACUUGGCCUCACUGCUGCAGCUCUCUGAGGACCCAGAGAGCAGAUGGGGAGCCAGCCAGACCGAUUGCACAAAAACAUUCUGGGAUCAUUUUAAGGAAGGCUGAAUUUGGAUUGGGUGUCAGAUGUCAGAUGAUGCUAAGAAUUUAACAUUUGUAUUUGGUACAAUAAUGAUAUUACGGACACAGAAGAAAACGUCUUAAAGGUAAUGGAGCUACAUCUUGAAAUAACAUCCAGGAAAGAAGUGCCAUGAUGCUGUGAUUCACAUGAAAACAUCAGAUUCCAGGGCAGCCCAGGUGGCUCAGUGGUUUAGUGCCGGCUUCAGCCCAGG